CUUCCGCUUCUGCUGUCUUGAUGACGCACAGUGCUGGCGCAAGUCGUCUUGCGCCAGGCGACUGGGUCUGAGGAGGCAGGAGUUAUUCAUUCCCUUAAGCUUUCAGGCCGGGGGGAGAAUCUUUCAGGUGGUAGCUGCAAGAACUCUUAGUAUGUUGACCUCACCUCUGCCUUCCACAUACCACUACCAGUGAGGAAUUAGGAAUGCAUGAGAAGAGUGUCCAAGAAGAGUGUCCUCAUUCAUGCAAGGCUUAAGAGAGAAUGCAGGUCAACAUCACCAUGUCAAUCAGAGGUUUGGAUAUUCUACAGAAGUUCACCUGGGCUU
rnacentral:lncRNA from 10 species